GAGGAAAUUAUUGAGGAAAGGAUUACGAGAAGAUAUAUAAGAAAUGAAUUUAAUAUUAUGGAAUUAUCGAAAAAAAUAUAAUUUGUUAUGUACAUAUGUAUUAUGUUCGGUUAUAAACUGUUUUUGCAUUUGUAAUUAUAGCUUCACACAAAACUUUAGACUUUCUAAAGAAGCCUUUGAUUAUGUCUUAAGAGGCAUAACUGAAGAACUAAUGGUACCUAUAAGAUCCACGGCAGUAACUCCAGCUAUAAAACUUGCUGCUACUUUAAAAUUCCUUGGUCAAGGAAGCUAUCAACAUCAAAUAGGGCAAGACCGGUUUGCAGGGGUAGCACAGUCCACUACAUCUAAAUGUAUUGCAAAAGUGUUGAAUGCUAUUGAAAAAACAAUGUGUCCGAAACACAUAAAAUUUGAAAUGAGCUCACAAGAAAAACGUGAAGCUAAGAAUUAUUUUUAUUCAAAAUUUGGAUUACCAGGAAUAUUAGGUGCUGUUGAUGGAACUCACAUCCAGAUGUUUAGACCAAAAAAAGAUGAACAUCUCUUUUUUAAUCGAAAGCUAAAGCAUAGCGUCUAUGCUAUGGUGAUUUGUGACCAUAACAAGAAUGAAUGAUAGAAAGAAACAACCAAAGUUCUCGUGUUUAAACAAGUUUUGUUUUGAGCUAUAUCAUGGAUGCUUGUGAAGUAUUAUUUUGCAUGUUUUAUUUAAAUCAGUGAUCUGUAGCCUAAUUAAAGUGUAAAUUAUUGAAGCACGCAUUUUUAAAUAAGUAAAACGUAGACUAAAAGUUUUCUAAAGCCAAAAGAUGGAAUUGAAUACAGUAAUACUUCAUUGCAUUGUCAAUUUGUAAGCACCCAAUAGAAGCUACGCCAACAAUGGUCAACAUCAAGGGCGAAACCAUUGAAUACAUAUUUCAAACCUCAUACGGCGUUAUAGGUACGCAACCUAUGGCAGCAGCGUAGAACUUUCGAAUCGAUGGAAUAUGUGCUGCAAGCAAAUCCAGAACUAUGGAUGCAAACGCUGCUACAUCGAACACAAAUCAUUUACACACUAGAUAUUAGGUUUAAUGUCACUUUUUUAAGUGCAAUUAAACCUUUUGCUCAACACAAGCCCGGGAAGAAAUGAAACGACAUGGCUUAGGUGCUUUUGUAACCGUUUAUCAUCGCGACGUGUGUAAACUGGGUUUUGCCAAUGAGCUAGAGGGCAAAGCAGUUGCAGUAUUUUUAGAAUUACCGGCCCCUCAGUUGGCCGUGCCAUUAGCAGCUAAAACUCAGAAGUUAAAGGGUAAAUUUAAGUGAAUGUUUGUGAUCAUAGAAAUUUAAAAACUUCUUGUAUGUUCAAUUAGGAAGACUUUUUUGAUGCACUUGGUCCAA